AAAGCUCUCAAAUGCAAGCUAGGUGCAACAAGUUCAAUCUUUAUGUGGCUGGUGCCCCUUAUAAGCAUCGAACUUAUUGCAACUAGCUUUCAUUUUUGAGCUUU
rfam:Prunus persica cultivar Lovell chromosome G4, whole genome shotgun sequence.